GAUGAACGCUGGCGGCGUGCCUAAUACAUGCAAGUCGAGCGAACAGACGAGGAGCUUGCUCCUCUGACGUUAGCGGCGGACGGGUGAGUAACACGUGGAUAACCUACCUAUAAGACGGGGAUAACUUCGGGAAACCGGAGCUAAUAGCGGAUAAUAUAUCGAACCGCAUGGUUCAAUAGUGAAAGACGGUGUUGCUGGCACUUAUAGAUGGAUCCGCGCCGCAUUAGCUGGUUGGUAAGGUAACGGGUUACCAAGGCAACGAUGCGUAGCCGACCUGAGAGGGUGGUAGGCCACACGGGAACGGAGCCAGGGUCCAGACUCCUACGGGAGGCAGCAGUAGCGAAUCUUCCGCAAUGGGGGAAAGCCUGACGGAGCAACGCCGCGUGAGUGAUGAAGGUCUUCGGAUCGUAAAACUCUGUUAUUAGGGAAGAACAAAUGUGUAAGUAACUAUGCACGUCUUGACGGUACCUAAUCAGAAAGCCACGGCUAACUACGUG
rnacentral:rRNA from 1 species